UGCAAAAAUGCUCACCAAGUGUGGGACAAUGAAAAACAAUGGCAGACAGACCCUGCUGCUGCCACACUUUGCCCACAAUGCCCACACCACUCCUUCCCAGAAGCAAGAGUCCCUGUGAUGAUGCAGGUGGUGAUGAUAUAGGUGGUAUUAAUUAACAAUUUAGACAUGCCCACAGGGCUCCCUCCAGGCUUCACCCCCUUAUGGGUACUGUGAAAAAAAUUAGCUUUGUCCUGGCCAAAAGCAAGGCAAUACUUCAAUGAGCUUUGCAGGUGCUAAUGGUGUGAUGACCUGUCCAACUGUAUAGAAAAGACUGUACUUAACUCAUCUUUUGCAUCAUGUAAGGAUCUGGUGCUGUGCACAGAAAUAUAAUGAAUGCUGGCUGACCUGGGAUGAAACUCUAAAGAAAAGCUGAGGUGAGAGACAUCUUUGCUACAAAUAAAUGUUUUCUGUAAAUGUGAAAAAAGGAAGUAUCUUACUGCAAAAAGAAUGGAGGUAGGGAGCUCACCCUUUCUUGGGUGUAACUUACUA